UACGGGGGGGGCAAGCGUUGUUCGGAAUUACUGGGCGUAAAGGGCUCGUAGGUGGCCAACUAAGUCAGACGUGAAAUCCCUCGGCUUAACCGGGGAACUGCAUCUGAUACUGGAUGGCUUGAAUUCGGGAGAGGGAUGCAGAAUUCCAGGUGUAGCGGUGAAAUGCGUAGAUAUCUGGAGGAAUACCGGUGGCGAAGGCGGCAUCCUGGACCGACAUUGACGCUGAGGAGCGAAAGCUAGGGGAGCAAACGGG
rnacentral:rRNA from 1 species